rnacentral:lncRNA from 1 species
UUUAUUUUUGCAAAUUAUGUUGUUGUAUGAGUUGGGUAAGAUGGAGCAAAAAGCUUUUUGAAGGAGUUUGCUAUUGUUUCCACUAAUGAUGAUUUACAUGUAAGUUUUGAUUUGAUGACAUUUUACCCCAUAACUUUUCAUAUGAUAAAUUACAAACCAUUUGACUCAUACUUUUGUGGCAUUGAACUAGCCUACCAUAUAUUAACAUCAACUUCUAUUGUUGUGGCAUUUGAUCAAAAUUGACAAAAGAAAAUCUAUGUAAGUUAAUCUUUUCAACUUUGUUACAAUUCAUUUGUUGGGUAUGCAAUGCAUAUUGAGAAUUUGAUUUAGUUAUUUGUUUAAAAUUUGAAACAUAGAUGUCAUGUUGGAGUUUCACUGCUAUGAGAACAUAACAAAGUUGAAGCAAAUUUCUCACUACUCUUGGGGUAUUUUACAUUUUUACCAAUUGAUGUUAUUCUGUUAUGCAACUAUCAUUGGUUCUUUCUAAUAUGAACGUUGGUCUUAUUAUGUUCUACAACUUUUUUUUCUUUCUUGUAAUUUGUAUUAUGUGUGUGUAGAAGAAGAAAUAUUCAUGUUGCUGAAAUCACCCAG